AACUCCCUGUUCCUCCUACUCCUGUUCCUCUUCCUCAUACCCAUACUCAAACUCCUCCGAUUUCUUACUCAGUUCUUCUUCUUCUUAUUCAUUAUCAUCAUCGUUGGUCAACUGUUCGAUUUAUAAUCGUCCUUUCUCUCUUUCUACAUCUACCAACAUAGGAAGCUAAUUUUGGGUGAUUUCAAGAUGAAAUAGAUGAAGAUGAAAUGGUUAUGUUGAGUAACAGAAAGUCAGGGAAACGAGUAGUGGAAAUGGGUUUAAUGGUAAGCCGCUGUAGUUCAUGUUGGCAGUGAUACGGAGAUAGAGAAGGUAUUGGUUGUUGUUUUUGAGUUCGAGAGAGGUUGAGCUCCAUUGAGUUGCAUCUGUGAUGUUGUUGGUAAUGGAACUGUUUGUGAUGCUGCUAUGGAUCUGAGGCAAUGUGGUGGUUGAGAUGAUGAGUGGUUAUUAUGAAGUUAUGGAUUUGAACUAGAGAGUGUUGUCAAGAAGAUUGGGUACAGGUUCAAAUCAUAUUUGGUGUAUGCUACAGGUUGUGGUGUGGAUUAGAGGUUGUUAUGGAUAUGAUGAUGUGGGUCACGCUGGUUAGUACAUGAAAGAUAGGAUUCUGGUGAAGAUGGAUUUGGUGAUGUUGGUUUGAGAGAUUGAAUGAGUUUUGAAGAUGUAGCUUUGUGCAACUGUGACUAUUGGGAGUUGAUUGAGCCGAGAGUUUUCUACCAGUGAUAGCGAAUGGAUGUGUAUGCUUAUGUUUAAUUUGCAGGGAAAUGGAAAGCUAUAGAAGAGUACCGAUUGAUGCACAGCAACACCACCUGGUUGUGCAUGCAAAAUGUUCGACGCAAUGCAUGAUACACUAGUCUCGAGUAUGAUGGGUUUAUUUAAUUUUCUAAAAAAUAUUAUGCAAGCCUCGGGUAUCAUCAGCUUUGCUCCGUAAACAUAAUGGUGCAUUGGGCACCUUAUGUAGUUUUAAUUGAUGAUUUUUGUUGGAAAUGCAGGAUGGAGGGAUGUAUGUGAUAUGUAUGUUGUUGUUGCUGCUAAUGGAUACUUGGAGUAACAAGCUUUUCUUAUCUAAUUUGGAUCAUGGUGUUUCAAAUGAGGGUGUCAAAGUAAUUUUAUUGAUUUUCGGAGUAAUGUUUUUAUGAUGGUUUUCAUUUUAUAAAUGCCAAAAGUUUGUAAACUUUGUUGCUCUAAAAAUUAAUGCCAAAAGUAAUUAUUUAUUGAA